rnacentral:rRNA from 1 species
AAUGAACGUUGGCGGCGUGGAUUAGGCAUGCAAGUCGUGCGAGAAGUGUUUUUUGCUUGCAUUGAACACGGACAGCGGCGAAAGGGAGAGUAACGUGUGGUUACAUGCCCAGGGGUCCAGGAUAGCGUCGGGAAACUGGCGGUAAUACUGGAUGACAUCUUCGGAUCAAAGGUGAGAUUCCGCCCUUGGAUUGGACCGCAUACUAUUAGCUAGUUGGUGGGGUAAUGGCCUACCAAGGCAGCGAUGGUUACCGGGUGUGAGAGCAUGGCCCGGCUCACUGGGACUGAGACACUGCCCAGACACCUACGGGUGGCUGCAGUCGAGAAUCUUCGGCAAUGGACGAAAGUCUGACCGAGCGACGCCGCGUGCGGGAUGAAGGCCCUCGGGUUGUAAACCGCUGUCAGUUUGGGAGGAAGGAGGUGUGAAGAGCAUCUCUUGACCGAUCUUCAGAGGAAGGACGGGCUAAGUUCGUGCCAGCCGCCGCGGU